rnacentral:rRNA from 1 species
GUGGGGAAUCUUCCGCAAUGGACGAAAGUCUGACGGAGCAACGCCGCGUGAGUGAUGAAGGUCUUCGGAUUGUAAAGCUCUGUUAAUCGGGACGAAAGAGCCUAGUGUGAAUAAUGCUAGGAAGUGACGGUACCGGAAUAGAAAGCCACGGCUAACUACGUGCCAGCAGCCGCGGUAAUACGUAGGUGGCAAGCGUUGUCCGGAAUUAUUGGGCGUAAAGCGCGCGCAGGCGGAUCUGCCAGUCUGUCUUAAAAGUUCGGGGCUUAACCCCGUGAUGGGAUGGAAACUACAGAGCUAGAGUAUCGGAGAGGAGAGUGGAAUUCCUAGUGUAGCGGUGAAAUGCGUAGAUAUUAGGAAGAACACCAGUGGCGAAGGCGACUUUCUGGACGAAAACUGACGCUGAGGCGCGAAAGCCAGGGGAGCGAACGGGAUUAGAAACCCGGGUAGUCC